GACGGAGGGUGCUAGCGUUGUUCGGAAUCACUGGGCGUAAAGGGCUCGUAGGCGGCCAACUAAGUCGGAUGUGAAAUCCCCAGGCUUAACCUGGGAACUGCAUCCGAUACUGGAUGGCUUGAAUCCGGGAGAGGGAUGCAGAAUUCCAGGUGUAGCGGUGAAAUGCGUAGAUAUCUGGAGGAAUACCGGUGGCGAAGGCGGCAUCCUGGACCGGCAUUGACGCUGAUGAGCGAAAGCUAGGGGAGCAAACGGG
rnacentral:rRNA from 1 species